CGCGGGGUGGUGGAGUAGUACCACGGAGGUCUCAUAAGCCUCAGACGCAGGUGCAAAUCCUGCCCCCGCAA
rnacentral:tRNA from 1 species